GGGAGACCUGGGGAUGCAGGCCACCCAGGAGUUGAUGGAAGUUCAGGUCUCCCAGGUCCUGCAGGUCCACGAGGGCCCCCUGGCCCAGCUUCUGAUCAAGGUGACACAGGCAAUCCAGGUUUUGCUGGUGUUCCUGGCUUACGAGGCAUUAAGGGCAACAUGGGACCCCCUGGUCCAGUUGGGCUCCCUGGAGCAUUUGGAUUCAAAGGUAUAAGGGGUGAGCCUGGCCUUAUGGGGAUGCCAGGUAAAGAUGGGCCUCCCGGGGAUCCUG
rnacentral:lncRNA from 1 species